UACGGAGGGCGCGAGCGUUGUCCGGAAUCACUGGGCGUAAAGGGCGCGUAGGCGGCCCUGGUAAGUCUGCGGUGAAAGCCCGGGGCUCAACCCCGGGUCGGCCGCGGGUACUGCCGGGCUGGAGUGCCGUAGGGGCAGGCGGAAUUCCGGGUGUAGCGGUGGAAUGCGUAGAGAUCCGGAAGAACACCGGUGGCGAAGGCGGGUCUCUGGGCCAUUACUGACGCUGAGGAGCGAAAGCGUGGGGAGCGAACAGG
rnacentral:rRNA from 1 species